GCCUUCUUGGCUUAGAUGGCAGAGCGUCUGCCUAGUAAGCAGAAGGUCACCAGUUCGAUUCUGGUAGAAGGCA